rnacentral:rRNA from 1 species
UACGUAGGUGGCAAGCGUUACUCGGAAUUACUAGGUAUAAAACGCAGGUAGGUGGUCUAAUAAGUUAGAGGUGAAAUCCACGAUUAAAAUCGUGAACUGCUUUUAAUACUAUUAGACUUGAGUAUAAAAGGGGAAACCGGAAUUCCUGGUGUAGCGGUGAAAUGCGUAGAUAUCAGGAGGAACACCGAUGGCGAAGGCGGGUUUCUAGUUUAUUACUGACACUGAUCUGCGAAAGCUAGGGGAGC